CGGCGUAUAGCCUAAUGGUCAGGCGCUUGCUUUCGGGGCAAGAGCUACGCAGGGUUCGAAUCCCUGCACGUUGG
rnacentral:tRNA from 1 species